CUACGGGUGGCACCAGUAAGGAAUAUUGGUCAAUGGACGAAAGUCUGAACCAGCCAUGCCGCGUGAAGGAUUAAGGUCCUCUGGAUUGUAAACUUCUUUUAUAUGGGACGAAAAAAGGUCUUUCUAGAUCACUUGACGGUACCAUAUGAAUAAGCACCGGCUAACUCCGUGCCAGCAGCCGCGGUAAUACGGAGGGUGCAAGCGUUAUCCGGAUUCACUGGGUUUAAAGGGUGCGUAGGCGGGCAGGUAAGUCAGUGGUGAAAUCCUGGAGCUCAACUCCAGAACUGCCAUUGAUACUAUCUGUCUUGAAUAUUGUGGAGGUAAGCGGAAUAUGUCAUGUAGCGGUGAAAUGCUUAGAUAUGACAUAGAACACCCAUUGCGAAGGCAGCUUACUACGCAUAUAUUGACGCUGAGGCACGAAAGCGUGGGGAUCAAACAGGAUUAGAUACCCCCGUAGUC
rnacentral:rRNA from 1 species